CAGCCGCCGCGGGAAUACAGAGGGUGCAAGCGUUAAUCGGAAUUACUGGGCGUAAAGCGCGCGUAGGUGGUUUGUUAAGUUGGAUGUGAAAUCCCCGGGCUCAACCUGGGAACUGCAUCCAAAACUGGCAGGCUAGAGUAGGGCAGAGGGUGGUGGAAUUUCCUGUGUAGCGGUGAAAUGCGUAGAGAUCGGAAGGAACAUCUGUGGCGAAGGCGACUAUCUGGGCCAACACUGACACUGAGGCACGAAAGCGUGGGGAGCAAACAGGAUUAGAUACCCCCGUAGUCCCUGUCUCUUAUAA
rnacentral:rRNA from 1 species